AGCGAACGCUGGCGGCAGGCCUAACACAUGCAAGUCGAACGAACUCUUCGGAGUUAGUGGCGGACGGGUGAGUAACACGUGGGAACGUGCCUUUUGGUUCGGAAUAACUCAGGGAAACUUGUGCUAAUACCGAAUGUGCCCUUCGGGGGAAAGAUUUAUCGCCAUUAGAGCGGCCCGCGUCUGAUUAGCUAGUUGGUGAGGUAACGGCUCACUAAGGCGACGAUCAGUAGCUGGUCUGAGAGGAUGACCAGCCACACUGGGACUGAGACACGGCCCAGACUCCUACGGGAGGCAGCAGUGGGGAAUCUUGCGCAAUGGGCGAAGGCCUGACGCAGCCAUGCCGCGUGAAUUAUGAAGGUCGUAGGAUUGUAAAAUUCUUUAACCCGGGACGAUAAUGACGGUACCCGGAGAAGAAGCCCCGGCUAACUUCGUG
rnacentral:rRNA from 1 species